rnacentral:rRNA from 1 species
UACGUAGGUGGCGAGCGUUGUCCGGAUUUACUGGGCGUAAAGGGAGCGUAGGCGGAUUUUUAAGUGAGAUGUGAAAUACUCGGGCUUAACCUGAGUGCUGCAUUUCAAACUGGAAGUCUAGAGUGCAGGAGAGGAGAAGGGAAUUCCUAGUGUAGCGGUGAAAUGCGUAGAGAUUAGGAAGAACACCAGUGGCGAAGGCGCUUCUCUGGACUGUAACUGACGCUGAGGCUCGAAAGCGUGGGGAGCAAACAGGAUUAGAUACCCUGGUAGCCCACGCCGUAAACGAUGAAUACUAGGUGUAGGGGUUGUCAUGACCUCUGUGCCGCCGCUAACGCAUUAAGUAUUCCGCCUGGGGAGUACGGUCGCAAGGUUGAAACUCAAAGGAAUUGACGGGGGCCCGCACAAGCGGUGGAGCAUGUGGUUUAAUUCGAUGCAACGCGAAGAACCUUACCAGGUCUUGACAUCUAGUGCAAUCUGUAGAGAUACGGAGUUCCCUUCGGGGACGCUAAGACAGGUGGUGCAUGGCUGUCGUCAGCUCGUGUCGUGAGAUGUUGGGUUAAGUCCCGCAACGAGCGCAACCCUUGUUAUUAGUUGCCAGCAUUAAGUUGGGCACUCUAAUGAGACUGCCGGUGACAAACCGGAGGAAGGUGGGGAUGACGUCAAGUCAUCAUGCCCCUUAUGACCUGGGCUACACACGUGCUACAAUGGGCAGUACAACGAGAAGCAAGCCUGCGAAGGCAAGCGAAUCUCUGAAAGCUGUUCUCAGUUCGGACUGCAGUCUGCAACUCGACUGCACGAAGCUGGAAUCGCUAGUAA